rnacentral:hammerhead_ribozyme from 1 species
AUUCAGAUGAUAAGUCCCAAAUAGGACGAAAUACGCUUUAUCCUGGAU